rnacentral:rRNA from 1 species
UACGUAGGGGGCAAGCGUUGUCCGGAAUCAUUGGGCGUAAAGCGCGUGUAGGCGGCUCGGGUAGUCUGGUGUGAAAUCUUUCGGCUCAACCGGAAGCGGUCACUGGAUACUCCCGGGCUUGAGUCCGGAAGAGGAGAGUGGAAUUCCUGGUGUAGCGGUGGAAUGCGCAGAUAUCAGGAGGAACACCAAUGGCGAAGGCAGCUCUCUGGUACGUGACUGACGCUGAGACGCGAAAGCGUGGGGAGCGAACAGG